GUAAGGAAUAUUGGUCAAUGGACGAAAGUCUGAACCAGCCAUGCCGCGUGAAGGAUGAAGGCCCUCUGGGUUGUAAACUUCUUUUAUCUGGGACGAAAAAAGGGUAUUCUUACUCACUUGACGGUACCAGAGGAAUAAGCACCGGCUAACUCCGUGCCAGCAGCCGCGGUAAUACGGAGGGUGCAAGCGUUAUCCGGAUUCACUGGGUUUAAAGGGUGCGUAGGUGGGUAUUUAAGUCAGUGGUGAAAUCUCCGAGCUUAACUCGGAAACUGCCAUUGAUACUAUUUACCUUGAAUGCCCUGGAGGUAAGCGGAAUAUGUCAUGUAGCGGUGAAAUGCUUAGAUAUGACAUAGAACACCAAUUGCGAAGUCAGCUUACUACGGGGUGAUUGACACUGAGGCACGAAAGCGUGGGGAGCAAACAGGAUUAGAAACCCGUGUAGUCC
rnacentral:rRNA from 1 species